AGAGUUUGAUCCUGGCUCAGAUUGAACGCUGGCGGCAGGCCUAACACAUGCAAGUCGAACGGUAACAGGAAGCAGCUUGCUGCUUUGCUGACGAGUGGCGGACGGGUGAGUAAUGUCUGGGCAACCUGCCCAACAGAGGGGGAUAACACUUGGAAACAGGUGCUAAUACCGCAUAAUGUCGCAAGACCAAAGAGGGGGACCUUCGGGCCUCUUGCCAUCGGAUGUGCCCAGAUGGGAUUAGCUUGUUGGUGAGGUAACGGCUCACCAAGGCGACGAUCCCUAGCUGGUCUGAGAGGAUGACCAGCCACACUGGAACUGAGACACGGUCCAGACUCCUACGGGAGGCAGCAGUGGGGAAUAUUGCACAAUGUGCGCAAGCCUGAUGCAGCCAUGCCGCGUGUAUGAAGAAGGCCUUCGGGUUGUAAAGUACUUUCAGCGGGGAGGAAGGUGUUGUGGUUAAUAACCGCAGCAAUUGACGUUACCCGCAGAAGAAGCACCGGCUAACUCCGUGCCAGCAGCCGCGGUAAUUC
rnacentral:rRNA from 1 species